CGGCAGCACAGAGGAGCUUGCUCCUUGGGUGGCGAGUGGCGGACGGGUGAGGAAUACAUCGGAAUCUGCCUUAUCGUGGGGGAUAACGUAGGGAAACUUACGCUAAUACCGCAUACGACCUACGGGUGAAAGCGGAGGACCGCAAGGCUUCGCGCGAUAAGAUGAGCCGAUGUCGGAUUAGCUAGUUGGCGGGGUAAUGGCCCACCAAGGCGACGAUCCGUAGCUGGUCUGAGAGGAUGAUCAGCCACACUGGAACUGAGACACGGUCCAGACUCCUACGGGAGGCAGCAGUGGGGAAUAUUGGACAAUGGGCGCAAGCCUGAUCCAGCCAUGCCGCGUGUGUGAAGAAGGCCUUCGGGUUGUAAAGCACUUUUGUCCGGAAAGAAAAGCUUCGGGUUAAUACCCCGGGGUCCUGACGGUACCGGAAGAAUAAGCACCGGCUAACUUCGUGCCAGCAGCCGCGGUAAUACGAAGGGUGCAAGCGUUACUCGGAAUUACUGGGCGUAAAGCGUGCGUAGGUGGUUUGUUAAGUCUGAUGUGAAAGCCCUGGGCUCAACCUGGGAAUUGCAUUGGAUACUGGCAAGCUAGAGUGCGGUAGAGGAUGGCGGAAUUCCCGGUGUAGCAGUGAAAUGCGUAGAGAUCGGGAGGAACAUCUGUGGCGAAGGCGGCCAUCUGGACCAGCACUGACACUGAGGCACGA
rnacentral:rRNA from 1 species